AAGCCCUUCCCUCUAUUGAUGGGUAAAGAGUCUGAGAAAAGCCCACAGGGAUGUGAGGAAAUUCUCUCAUCACUUCUUUUGCAUGAUUACCUUUGUGGCUCUUCUCUGAACUGUGUUCAGUUCAUUCCACCAAGAUGGCCGCUCUAGGGGAGCCCUGGCCAGAAGGAGAGUGGGGCCCAGGUGUACCGACCAGGUGUGACACAGGAGAGGCAGCACAGUAAAACACAUGGAUCACAGAUCCCAGACAGAAGAGGGCAGCAGUCCUGGCAGGAACAACAAGAAGAGGACAGAUGAAAAGAACAUGGCUGCCGGUACAAGCCCCACGCCAAGACUAUAAUUCACAGCUCACCUUGCACCAGAGGAGGACCUGAAAGGCAAACCUGUGGAGCCAACACAUCCUCUGGACUUGGUUUGCAGGUCUUUUGCAGGGAACCAACACCAUCACUCUUCUCCUAGAAACAAGAGGCUCUAGGCCGGGACAAGGCCUAUCACUUCUGGACAUCUAGACCAGCCACCAAAUGGUCUAGCUGACUCAACCUGGGAAGCUGGGACAAAGAAGGGGAAUCAGGAAAAUCAGAAACUCCUGUGGCCAGGCAAGCUCCAGUGACCAAGGUGUGAUCAUCCCAGCGCUGAAAAGAUCACACCAACCCUGUGUCUCCCACACCAACCGAAGUGUCCCCACUGUGCAAGAAGUUGGGGUGUAAAGACCUCAGAGAGAACUAAGUUGGAGUUCAGAUCCAAACUCCAUUUCUUCUGUAACAUGGCAACUGAGUUUCUGUUCAUUCCUUUGGAGAUUGAGGACAUAACACCUUAUCUCCCUGGGCUGUCGUAUGUUCAUAAUGUUCACAAUAAUGUAUGUGAAAGGCCUGAGACCGUAUCUGUACCUAGCAGAU
ensembl:lncRNA